AACGUACGCUGGCGGCGUGCCUAACACAUGCAAGUCGAACGGGAAAACCCGCAAGGGUGAGUACAGUGGCGCACGGGUGCGUAACACGUGGGUAAUCUGCCCAGAAGCCCGGAAUAACUCCCCGAAAGGGGUGCUAAUGCCGGAUGAGACCACGGGGACUUCGGUUCCUGGGGGAAAAGGUGGCCUCUGUAUACAAGCUAUCACUUCUGGAUGAGCCCGCGGCCCAUCAGCUAGUUGGCGGGGUAAUGGCCCACCAAGGCUACGAUGGGUAGCUGGUCUGAGAGGACGAUCAGCCACACUGGAACUGAGACACGGUCCAGACUCCUACGGGAGGCAGCAGUGGGGAAUCUUGCGCAAUGGGCGAAAGCCUGACGCAGCAACGCCGCGUGUGUGAUGAAGGUCUUCGGAUCGUAAAGCACUGUCGGGAGGGACGAAUAAGGGCCGGGUGAACAAUCCGGUUCGACGACGGUACCUCCAGAGGAAGCACCGGCUAACUCUGUGCCAGCAGCCGCAGUAAUAC
rnacentral:rRNA from 1 species